rnacentral:rRNA from 1 species
UACGAAGGGGGCUAGCGUUGCUCGGAAUCACUGGGCGUAAAGCGCACGUAGGCGGCUUUCUAAGUCAGGGGUGAAAUCCUGGAGCUCAACUCCAGAACUGCCUUUGAUACUGGAGAGCUUGAGUCCGGGAGAGGUGAGUGGAACUCCGAGUGUAGAGGUGAAAUUCGUAGAUAUUCGGAAGAACACCAGUGCGAAGGCGGCUCACUGGCCCGGUACUGACGCUGAUGUGCGAAAGCGUGGGAGCAAACAGGAU